rnacentral:rRNA from 1 species
AUUGAACGCUGGCGGCAUGCCUUACACAUGCAAGUCGAACGGUAACAGGUCUUCGGAUGCUGACGAGUGGCGAACGGGUGAGUAAUACAUCGGAACGUGCCCGAUCGUGGGGGAUAACGGAGCGAAAGCUUUGCUAAUACCGCAUACGAUCUACGGAUGAAAGCAGGGGACCGCAAGGCCUUGCGCGGACGGAGCGGCCGAUGGCAGAUUAGGUAGUUGGUGGGAUAAAAGCUUACCAAGCCGACGAUCUGUAGCUGGUCUGAGAGGACGACCAGCCACACUGGGACUGAGACACGGCCCAGACUCCUACGGGAGGCAGCAGUGGGGAAUUUUGGACAAUGGGCGCAAGCCUGAUCCAGCCAUGCCGCGUGCAGGAUGAAGGCCUUCGGGUUGUAAACUGCUUUUGUACGGAACGAAAAGACUCUGGUUAAUACCUGGGGUCCAUGACGGUACCGUAAGAAUAAGCACCGGCUAACUACGUGCCAGCCGCCGCGGUAA